CGAGGAAGAACAUGUCGUUCUUGAAGUUCUUCAUCUCGAUUGCGUCGUCUUGAAGGUUGUGACAAUCGUAAUGUCUCGUCCGGCAGGUCAGCAAACGAAGGUUCUUGAGUUGAAUCCGCUGGUUGUUGGCUCUCCAUCUAAUUAGCGUUACAAAUGUAAAGAAGUUACAAACAAGGAUAGGAAAUUGAAUGUUAUCUUGCCUCAAUCUUGUCUCUUUUAUAAGAGAGAUUUUCAUCUU
rnacentral:lncRNA from 1 species